AGCCAGGAGAGAACCCAGGCGUCCGGGCUCCCCGCUGCCUGCUGUAACCACCCCCCGUUUCUCCGAAGGAGCCGGCUGUCUGGGAGAUCCAGUGGGAAGACACUGGCUGAGCUCUCCAGGACCCUGGAGGAGGCGAACGCCGCACUGGAGCGGCUGAGCACAGAGAGCUCCUCCCUGCGGGGGGACGCAGAGCCCCUGGCCCCUGGCACUGCCCUGCAGACCCUGGCGCUGGUGGCCUGCGACUCGCACCAGCUGAUGGCGGCCUUCAGGCAGGUGUAUGAGACGGAGCUGCGGGAACACUGCGGCCGCGGCCCUGCCCCACGGCUCAGCCCCUGUGGGCCCCUAAGCCAGCACCUGCACCGGGCCCUCACCCUCUGCACCCAGGAGCUGUGGACGCUGGCCCAGCUGAGCGACACCUCAGAGCAGGUGGUGCAGACGGCGGAGCGGAGAUGCGGCGAGGAAGGCACCAGCCCCCCAGUGACACUGCGUAAGUUGCCCCAGAGCAGGCAGAGAACCCAGGCGUCCGGGUGGGGUUUGGGGGUAGCUGCUGAACUGACAUGAAUUGUUUCUGUUCCAGCCGCGAAGAUGGAGGAGCUGCGCCGGCGCUACCAGGCCCGCCUGGCUGCUGCCGGGGGGCUGCCGGGGUGACCCCAGGAGUGGGCUGGGGGAGGGGAGAUGGGUGGGGAGCUCCAGGGCCCCCAUCCCACGGGGGAGCUGCUGUCCCACUGG
rnacentral:lncRNA from 1 species